CCUACGUGAGGCAGCAGUGGGGGAUAUUGCACAAUGGGGGAAACACUGAUGCAGCGAAGCCGCGUGAGUGAGGAAGUAUUUCGGUAUGUCAAACUCUAUCAGCAAGGGAGAAAAAAGACGGUACCUGACUAGGAAGCCCCGGCUAACUACGUACGAGCAGCCGCGGGAAUACGUAGGGGGCACGCGUUAUCCGGAUUUACUGGGUGUAAAGGGAGCGUAGACGGGGCGGCAAGUCUGAAGUGAAAGGCAGGGGCCUAACCCCUGAACUGCUUUGGAAACUGCCAUGCUCGAGUGAGGGAGAGGUAAGUGGAAUUCCUAGUGUAGCGGUGAAAUGCGUAGAUAUUAGGAGGAACACCAGUGGCGAAGGCAGCUUACUGGACUGCAACUGACACUGAGGCUCGAAAGUGUGGGUAUCAAACAGGAUUAGAUACCCGUGUAGUC
rnacentral:rRNA from 1 species